rnacentral:tRNA from 1 species
GGAGAGGUGGCCGAGUGGUUGAANNGCACGCUUGGAAAGCGUGUGUGCCAGCAAUGGUACCGCAGGUUCGAAUCCUGUUCUCUCCGCCA